rnacentral:rRNA from 1 species
CACUCUUCAGAGCAUUCUGGGGGGUUAAAAGCUCCGGCGGUGAAGGAUGAGCCCGCGGCCUAUCAGCUUGUUGGUGGGGUGAUGGCCUACCAAGGCGACGACGGGUAGCCGGCCUGAGAGGGCGACCGGCCACACUGGGACUGAGACACGGCCCAGACUCCUACGGGAGGCAGCAGUGGGGAAUAUUGCACAAUGGGCGAAAGCCUGAUGCAGCGACGCCGCGUGAGGGAUGACGGCCUUCGGGUUGUAAACCUCUUUCAGCAGGGAAGAAGCGAAAGUGACGGUACCUGCAGAAGAAGCGCCGGCUAACUACGUGCCAGCAGCCGCGGUAAUACGUAGGGCGCAAGCGUUGUCCGGAAUUAUUGGGCGUAAAGAGCUCGUAGGCGGCUUGUCACGUCGGAUGUGAAAGCCCGGGGCUUAACCCCGGGUCUGCAUUCGAUACGGGCUAGCUAGAGUGUGGUAGGGGAGAUCGGAAUUCCUGGUGUAGCGGUGAAAUGCGCAGAUAUCAGGAGGAACACCGGUGGCGAAGGCGGAUCUCUGGGCCAUUACUGACGCUGAGGAGCGAAAGCGUGGGGAGCGAACAGGAUUAGAUACCCUGGUAGUCCACGCCGUAAACGGUGGGAACUAGGUGUUGGC